rfam:Enterococcus termitis strain LMG 8895 40, whole genome shotgun sequence.
UACAACUAAUGAUUUGACAGUUGGAAUGAAAGCCGUCAUGUUGGCUGAAACAACUGGUUUAAUACUCCUAUAUGCGUUUGGUUUUAACAGAAACUAAGGGUGUAAAGCUAGGUGAAGUCGGCUGAACAAUGCCUAAGUGAAAUGCGCAUUUCAUAAGGUAAAGGAUAGGUCGGAACGCUAUAAA